UACAUUCUGUGUCCAAAGUGUGUGGUGUCU
rnacentral:piRNA from 1 species